CGGCAGUGAUGAAAAAAAGGCCGGACUCACAGCUGCUACUUUUUACUAGUUGGUAGUAGGUUGAUGAAGCUAUGUCUGAGGUAUUACUUCUGAGCCAA